rnacentral:rRNA from 1 species
GUGAGCCAGUACAGGAUGGACCCGCGUCUGAUUAGCUAGUUGGUAAGGUAACGGCUUACCAAGGCGACGAUCAGUAGCCGACCUGAGAGGGUGAUCGGCCACAUUGGAACUGAGACACGGUCCAAACUCCUACGGGAGGCAGCAGUGGGGAAUAUUGCACAAUGGGCGAAAGCCUGAUGCAGCAACGCCGCGGGAGUGAUGAAGGCCUUCGGGUCGUAAAACUCUGUCCUCACGGAAGAUAAUGACGGUAAUUGAGGAGGAAGCCCCGGCUAACUACGUGCCAGCAGCCGCGGUAAGACGUAGGGGGCGAGCGGUAUCCGGAUUUACUGGGCGUAAAGGGUGCGGAGGGGGUCGUUGAAGUCAGGGGUGCAGGGCUGCGGCGCAACCGUAGUAAGCUCUUGAAACUGGGAGACUUGAGUGCAGGAGAGGAGAGUGGAAUUC